rnacentral:rRNA from 1 species
UGGCGGCGUGGAUAAGACAUGCAAGUCGAACGAAAAGUGAUUUAGUUUACUAAUGAUCUUUUAGUGGCGGACGGGGUAGUAACGCGUGAGCAACCUGCCUUAAAGAGGGGGAUAGUCCUGGGAAACUGGGUUUAAUACCGCAUAGCAUCUUCGGGUUAAAGUUGGCCUUCGGGCUGACGCUUUAAGAUGGGCUCGCGUCCUAUCAGCUUGUUGGUGAGGUAAAAGCUCACCAAGGCGACGACGGGUAGUUGGUCUGAGAGGACGAUCAGCAACACUGGAACUGAGACACGGUCCAGACACCUACGGGUGGCAGCAGUCGAGAAUCAUUCACAAUGGACGAAAGUCUGAUGGUGCAACGCCGCGUGGAGGAUGAAGGCCCUAGGGUCGUAAACUCCUGUCAUGUGAGAGUAAGGCAUAUUUGGUUAAUACCCAUAUAUGUUUGAUAGUAUUAUAAGAGGAAGGGACGGCUAACUACGUGCCAGCAGCCGCGGUAAUACGUAGGUGGCAAGCGUUAUUCGGAUUUAUUGGGCGUAAAGCGUGCGUAGGCGGCGCGGAAAGUCAGAUGUGAAAUCUUUGGGCUCAACCCAGAAACUGCAUCCGAUACUCCCGCGCUAGAGUAAUGGAGGGGUAGCUGGAAUUCUCGGUGUAGCAGUGAAAUGCGUAGAUAUCGAGAGGAACACUCGUGGCGAAGGCGAGCUACUGGACAUUUACUGACGCUGAGGCACGAAGGCCAGGGUAGCGAAAGGGAUUAGAUACCCCUGUAGUCCUGGCAGUAAACGGUGUGCGCUUGGUGUGGGAGGGCUCGACCCCUUCUGUGCCGGAGCUAACGCGUUAAGCGCACCGCCUGGGAAGUACGGCCGCAAGGCUAAAACUCAAAGAAAUUGACGGGGACCCGCACAAGCGGUGGAGUAUGUGGCUUAAUUCGAUGCAACGCGAAGAACCUUACCUAGGCUUGACAUGUAUCGCUAAUCUGCUGAAAGGCAGUGACUCUUCGGAGACUUUACACAGGUGCUGCAUGGCCGUCGUCAGCUCGUGUCGUGAGAUGUUCGGUUAAGUCCGGCAACGAGCGCAACCCCUGUGACUAGUUACUAACAUUAAGUUGAGGACUCUAGUCAGACUGCCCAGAUCAACUGGGAGGAAGGUGGGGAUGACGUCAGGUCAGUAUGGCCCUUACGCCUAGGGCUGCACACGUACUACAAUGCCCAGUACAAUGAGAACCGAUACCGCGAGGUGGAGGAAAUCUACAAAACUGGGCCCAGUUCGGAUUGGAGGCUGCAACUCGCCUCCAUGAAGUUGGAAUCGCUAGUAAUGGCACAUCAGCUACGGUGCCGUGAAUACGUUCCCGGGUCUUGUACACACCGCCCGUCACAUCAUGGAAGCCGACAGCACACGAAGUAUCUGCGCCAACUAUUUAUGUCCUAAGGUGUAGUUGGUAACUGGGAUGAAGUCGUAACAAGGUAGCCGUA